ensembl:lncRNA
GAAGCCAGGCAGCAGCAGGGGAAGCAUGUGCUGUGAAUGCUACUACCAGUUACUUUCUCCCUGGAGAGAGAAAAAAAGAAGUCGAUGAUCACUUUUAGCUCAGUCUUUGCCCUAACCUGAAAAUGUAUUUAAUCUUUUUUUUUUUUUUUUUUUUGUCUUUGUCUUUGAAGAAGGAGGUUGGAGUUGGAUCCCAGAUCACCUACUGAAAGCUAUAGCUGUAGUCACACGGGUUAGUCUGCAGUCUGGAGAGCAGCCUGGCUUCUGCUUGUGAGUCUGGUGGAAGCUCUGGAGAGAAGUCCGUACUGAGGUCCUGUGGAAAUGUAUAGGGAGCAUUACUUUCAGAGCAACCUAUAUGGACAGAAGAGGAAGGCAAUGGAGUAUUGGUACUGGAAUAUCAUCUGCCACUUUGGAGAAUUUAGCACUUAUUGAAAAAAAUUAAGUCCGUGCCUUCACAUAUGAACAUGAAUUUAAAUCUGCCUCUAUGUCCUCAACUGGUUUCAACAGCACUCUGAGUUGAGGCUGGACAAUUCAAGCUGUCUCCUUCUGUCCUUAGUGUGAUUCCGUGUCACUGUGUGCUGCAGAAGGGCCAUGGGAACUGGACAGAUGUCUUGAGGAGUUCUGGUUGCCUGUAGGUUACCUCUCCUUCUACCUUCAGUCUGUACCUCUGCUCAAAUGCUGAGAUCGCAUGGAAACACUCACCGUCAGGAAGUAGAUCUCAGCGCUCUGUGGAAAGAGACAUUCCUUGGGGAGACCUCUGACAGAACUAGUGGAGCAUGCUGUAACUGUAGCCCUUCAGACGUGGAGGAGGAAACACCAGGGGAUGUCACGAUGACUUUGCUCAGUCACAAGAGAUUCUUUGUAAUCAACGUGUUAAUUGUGUACUUCAGAAGGUGUCAGGCACUCUGCUUCAAGACAAAGCUGAACACGAUUUCUAAGCCAGGUAUCUUUCUAAACCCCAUAUUCCCUCCACUCCUCUAAUGCUAGGGCGCUGGAUGUCAGAGCAACUUGCCUUCUAUAAAAUCACAGACGUGAAAUUCUGCUUGACUGCUCUUGCCUGGGUUAGUAAGUUAGUAAGAAUGGAACUGUUUCACAUUGCUAGGUGCUAAGAAGCAGAAGUUUGGGUCCAAUGUUUGAAAAGAGAAACCUGAAUAUACAUUUCUGCUCAUAGUGUGCUUUCUGACUUGCACUCAGCAAACUUGGUUUAUGGGAGAUUUUUAUUUGCAAGACAGUUUGUUUUAAUGGAAACUCCCAGAAACUCUUCCGCUGGGAGGAUGCUUGCUGUUCUAAAAGUCAUGCAAGAUUUUUCUAUCUAAUCCAUUUGCGAUCUUGUUUGAUUCUUCUUCUUUUCUUUAUAAAACUGAAUAAUUGUUCGUACAUGACAUGAGAUCAUCACAAGGUCAUCUCAGUGAUCAAAUUAGCACCAUGAAUAAAAAUGUAAAUUCUAGUUGGAGUGGAAAGUCAAAG